GAGCGGUAAGGCCCUUCGGGGUACACGAGCGGCGAACGGGUGAGUAACACGUGGGUGAUCUGCCCUGCACUUCGGGAUAAGCCUGGGAAACUGGGUCUAAUACCGGAUAUGACCCUGGAAUGCAUGUUCUGGGGUGGAAAGAUUUAUCGGUGCGAGAUGGGCCCGCGGCCUAUCAGCUUGUUGGUGAGGUAACGGCUCACCAAGGCGACGACGGGUAGCCGACCUGAGAGGGUGACCGGCCACACUGGGACUGAGACACGGCCCAGACUCCUACGGGAGGCAGCAGUGGGGAAUAUUGCACAAUGGGCGCAAGCCUGAUGCAGCGACGCCGCGUGCGGGAUGACGGCCUUCGGGUUGUAAACCGCUUUUGACAGGGACGAAGCGCAAGUGACUGUACCUGUAGAAUAAGGACCGGCCAACUACGUGCCAGCAGCCGCGGUAAUACGUAGGGUCCGAGCGUUGUCCGGAAUUACUGGGCGUAAAGAGCUUGUAGGCGGUUCGUCGCGUCGUUUGUGAAAACUUGGGGCUCAACCUUAAGCUUGCAGGCGAUACGGGCGGACUAGAGUACUUCAGGGGAGACUGGAAUUCCUGGUGUAGCGGUGAAAUGCGCAGAUAUCAGGAGGAACACCGGUGGCGAAGGCGGGUCUCUGGGAAGUAACUGACGCUGAGAAGCGAAAGCAUGGGUAGCAAACAGGAUUAGAUACCCUGGUAGUCCACGCCGUAAACGGUGGGCGCUAGAUGUGGGUCCCUUCCACGGGAUCUGUGUCGUACUAACGCAUUAAGCGCCCCGCCUGGGGAGUACGGCCGCAAGGUAACUCGAAUUGACGGGGGCCCGCACAAGCGGCGGAGCAUGCGGAUUACGAUGACGCGAACUUACUUGACUACAAGGUCGGGCACUGGCCAUC
rnacentral:rRNA from 1 species